rnacentral:rRNA from 1 species
GUGUCAGCAGCCGCGGUAAUACGUAGGUGGCAAGCGUUAUCCGGAAUUAUUGGGCGUAAAGCGCGCGCAGGUGGUUUCUUAAGUCUGAUGUGAAAGCCCACGGCUCAACCGUGGAGGGUCAUUGGAAACUGGGAGGCUUGAGUGCAGAAGAGGAAAGUGGAUUUCCAUGUGUAGCGGUGAAAUGCGUAGAGAUAUGGAGGAACACCAGUGGCGAAGGCGACUUUCUGGUCUGUAACUGACACUGAGGCGCGAAAGCGUGGGGAGCAAACAGGAUUAGAAACCCUUGUAGUCC